CAUCUGCGGAAAGCUUGCUUUUCAGCAGAUGCAUGAAUUGAUGACCGCCCACGAUAUGAGCAUGGAGUGCGAAGCACGGGAAUGCGAAUAUCGUGGAGAAUUGCGGAAGUGCGAAGCACGGAGCAAUCCGU
rnacentral:sRNA from 1 species